rnacentral:rRNA from 1 species
UGGACCCGCNUNUGCCGCGGUGCGGGGAGGAAGCCCUUCGGGGUGUAAACCGCUGUCGGGGGGGACGAAGNGACCGUGGGCUAAUACCUCACGGUCUUGACGGUACCCCCAGAGGAAGGGACGGCUAACUACGUGCCAGCAGCCGCGGUAAUACGUAGGUCCCGAACGUUGCGCGA